rnacentral:rRNA from 1 species
UGGGGAAUAUUGGACAAUGGGCGAAAGCCUGAUCCAGCCAUGCCGCGUGUGUGAAGAAGGUCUUCGGAUUGUAAAGCACUUUAAGUUGGGAGGAAGGGCAGUAAGCGAAUACCUUGCUGUUUUGACGUUACCGACAGAAUAAGCACCGGCUAACUCUGUGCCAGCAGCCGCGGUAAUACAGAGGGUGCAAGCGUUAAUCGGAAUUACUGGGCGUAAAGCGCGCGUAGGUGGUUCGUUAAGUUGAAUGUGAAAGCCCCGGUCGCAACCUGGGAACGGCAGCCAAAACGGGAGAGCAAGAGUAGGGGAGAAGGUGGUGGAAGUUCCUGUGUAGCAGUGAAAUGCGUAGAUAAAGGAAGGAACACCAGUGGCGGAGGCGACCACCUGGGCUAAUACUGACACUGAGGUGCGAAAGCGUGGGGAGCAAACAGG